UGGGGAAUAUUUGGACAAUGGGCGCAAGCCUGAUCCAGCCAUACCGCGUGGGUGAAGAAGGCCUUCGGGUUGUAAAGCCCUUUUGUUGGGAAAGAAAUCCAGCUGGCUAAUACCCGGUUGGGAUGACGGUACCCAAAGAAUAAGCACCGGCUAACUUCGUGCCAGCAGCCGCGGUAAUACGAAGGGUGCAAGCGUUACUCGGAAUUACUGGGCGUAAAGCGUGCGUAGGUGGUCGUUUAAGUCCGUUGUGAAAGCCCUGGGCUCAACCUGGGAACUGCAGUGGAUACUGGGCGACUAGAGUGUGGUAGAGGGUAGCGGAAUUCCUGGUGUAGCAGUGAAAUGCGUAGAGAUCAGGAGGAACAUCCAUGGCGAAGGCAGCUACCUGGACCAACACUGACACUGAGGCACGAAAGCGUGGGGAGCA
rnacentral:rRNA from 1 species